rnacentral:lncRNA from 1 species
UUUGUUGAAGCUUCCUGCUGCUUCGUGAAGGCUUCCCGCUGUUUCUGGCUGGCUUUCUCCUGUUUUUUGGUGGCGGCUUCUAUUCAUUUAACCAUGUACAUAACCAUUUCAUUUUGCUUACGAAUGAGUCCACCGAGCAUUUCCACCAGUUGAUUUCCAGCAAACUUGGAUCGUUCUGAGGUAUUGGGAGUCCAAACUGACAUCUGCUUGUAACGUCCACUUUCUUCAUUGUCUACCAAUUCCUCAUUUCUGUAUUUUUCUAAUGUUUUCCCCUCGACUUCUUCGUCUACCACUAUCUUCCUCCUUGGUGGAAUUUU